GCCAGUUUGGUGUAGUGGUUUGAACAUUGGACUAUGAUGCAAGAGAUUAGGGUUUGAAUCCCUGCUUAGACA